rnacentral:lncRNA from 1 species
AGUUUUCUCAUUUUUAUUCUUCCUGUUCCCUCCCUUAGUGGAGGGGAAUGAGUGGCUGGAUGAGUGCUAAAAUACUGGUGAGGAUUGGCCUGCCACAAGUGUGAAGACUCCCUAGUGUCACAAAGUGGGUAAAAAUGUGAUAAUGAGGGCUGUACGCGGCCCAUGCAUACAUUAUCUUUAGAGAGAAGGGCGGGAAGUAUUUGAAUAACUAUGAAUGAUUUAUAACAAAUAUGAAGAAAUACUGCUGUAAGACCUAGCUGUCUUUCUGUGAAGAAACAGAAGAAUUUCAAUAUACUACAAGCCAUUGUGACAAACAAUGCAGUUGUGUGCAUCUAUGUUGAAUAUGGGUGAAAACGCGUACAGCUAUGUGUUUUACUUAUUUUGCUGUUUGACAUUGUAAGUGAGAAGAUUUCCUCUAGAGUUACUAUUACAUCCUUGUUUCCCAGGUGCAUCAUUCCUUAAGAGUUACCAUGAGGGAAAAUAAUUGUGAAUCUUCCAGAAGCUUGUUACUCACUAAAUGUGCACAUCUUAAGAUCACUGUCUUGAAUCGCUGAAACUGAGAGAAAUAAAGGAUAGGUUCUCAGAAGCCUUUAAAUUUGCAGUAUCAUCUUUUUUCUUGCCUCCCACAUGGAUACGGAUCAUACAAUCUGUGACCAGGAAGUGUGGUGCUCCUCGUGUCCUUUUGCAGUGACCUGUGCUGGGGAAGUUCUACCUUUCAGACAUCAAGGAAUGCUUUAUACUGCAGAAUUAUCUUGUUACCUCUUUCAUAUUGAAGCUGUAGGUCCUUGUGUAGUUUUUAUUGAGUUUCAUCUUCCUGUUUGA